rnacentral:rRNA from 1 species
UACCAGCACCCCGAGUGGUCGGGACGAUUAUUGGGCCUAAAGCAUCCGUAGCCGGCCUUACAAGUCCUCCGUUAAAUCCAGCUGCUUAACAGAUGGGCUGCGGAGGAUACUAUAAGACUAGGAGGCAGGAGAGGCAAGCGGUACUCAGUGGGUAGGGGUAAAAUCCGUUGAUCCAUUGAAGACCACCAGUGGCGAAGGCGGCUUGCCAGAAGUCGCGCUCGACGGUGAGGGAUGAAAGCUGGGGGAGCAAACCGG